AUUUUCAGUGUUUCAUCAUUGCAGCAGACAACACUCCACGACCGUGAUGUUUUACAGAUGAAGUGGAUCUCACCACCGGCCACUUGCCCUAUGAUGCAAUGGCCCAGUGAGACCAGCACACUCAACACAACAGCUGGGAGAUGAUGCUAUAAACUGCCUUACAAAUCUCAAGCUGUACUGCAGCAUGCAAUUAUAAUCAGGAUCAUUGUCACACAUCCAUUGCAUUUUUCUUUCUGUUUUUCCAUCCAUCCAUCCAUCCAUCCAUCCCCAUGAUGUCAAGCAAAGAGGCACUGAGUUUGAAGAUGAAAGACAACCAUGCAGGUUUAGGAAAACAUGAGAUGAAAAUUGAACACAUCAAUGUUUUAUGGAAAGGGUUAAAAGAGUGCACAGUGUUCACGUCUGAUUAACUAAAGUGAAGAUGUGCAAGGAUUUAAUGACAGUGAAAUGAAUCGACAAUACUGAAGAACCCAUGAUAAUGAUUCACUCAAUUUUAGUUUGUAGGAUUGACAAGUGUAUAAAUACAUCAAAUGAUUCAAGAAAUAUUAUUUUAAUUUAAGGAGAAAUUGAUCAUUUUUAGGGAACCUAGUUUUUUGGCCAUUGUCCAUUGUGGUUCAGAGUUGUCAUAUGGCAACAUUUCCUUUUUUGUUUUUUCUCUCUUCUUUUUAAAAAUAAUUUUCCUUUUCAAAACGAAUGAAACAAACUUGUUAAUUCAUUCACAACAUUCAUAAGCACAUUCCAAAUCAUCUACAGAAGUAAUUUGCCUUUUCUCAGUAAACUGAAAUGAUUCUAAUGAAGUAUAGAUAAAAUUGUAUUAAUAAUAUACAUUUCUGGUCAAGUUUUGAAACACUUGACUGAAAUGUUUCACAGGAUCUUAAAAAUCUUUUGAUCUAAAGGUCAUAUGCUUAAAUGUUUGAAAUUAGUUUUGUAGACAAAAAUAUAAUUGUGCCAACAUAUUAAUUUAUUUCAUUAUAAAACUAAACUGUAAUUAAAAAAAAUUUGUUUUGAAAUUGAUUACUUGGAUUAAAUAAUAAAGAAAAGCAGCCAAUAAGUGCCCAACAUAGAUGGGAACUCCUUCAAUACUGUUUAAAAAGCAUCCCAGGGUGAUACCUCAAGAAGUUGGUUGAGAAAAUGUCAAGAGUACAUGUCUGCAAAUUCUAGGCGAAGGGUGACUACUUUGAAGAUGCUAAAAUAUAACACAGUUUUGAUUUAUUUUGGAUUUUGUUUAGUCACAACAUAAUUCCCAUAGUCCCAUUUAUGUUAUUCCAUAGUUUUGAUGACUUUACUAUUAUUCUAAAAUGU